AGUGAACGCUGGCGGUAGGCCUAACACAUGCAAGUCGAACGGCAGCACAGUAAGAGCUUGCUCUUACGGGUGGCGAGUGGCGGACGGGUGAGGAAUACAUCGGAAUCUACUUUUUCGUGGGGGAUAACGUAGGGAAACUUACGCUAAUACCGCAUACGACCUACGGGUGAAAGCAGGGGAUCUUCGGACCUUGCGCGAUUGAAUGAGCCGAUGUCGGAUUAGCUAGUUGGCGGGGUAAAGGCCCACCAAGGCGACGAUCCGUAGCUGGUCUGAGAGGAUGAGCAGCCAAACGGGAACUGAGCAACGGUCCGGACUCCUACGGGGGGCAGCGGGGGGGAAUUUUGGACAAUGGGCGAAAGCCUGACCCAGCCAUACCGCGUGGGUGAAGAAGGCCUUCGGGUUGUAAAGCCCUUUUGUUGGGAAAGAAAAGCAGCAGGUUAAUACCCCGCUGUUCUGACGGUACCAAAAGAAUAGCACCGGCUAACUUCGUG
rnacentral:rRNA from 1 species